GCUUCCUGCAGGUGGAGCCCAACGCCACCGUCGCCGAGAUCAAGAGCCUCUUCAACAAGUCCCACCCCCAGUGGUACCCGGCCAGACAGUCGCUGCGCCUGGACCCCAAGGGGAAGUCCCUGAAGGACGAGGAUGUGCUGCAGAACCUGCCCGUGGGCACCACGGCCACCUUCUACUUCCGCGACCUGGGCGCGCAGAUCAGCUGGGUGACGGUCUUCCUCACCGAGUACGCCGGCCCCCUCCUCAUCUACCUGCUCUUCUACUUCCGCGUGCCCUUCAUCUACGGCCCCCGCUACGACU